GUGCUUGCUUUGGCAGCACAUACACAAAAUUGGAAUGAUACUGAGAUUAUUAGCAUGGCCCCUGUACAAGGAUGAUGUGUAAAUUCAUGAAGCAUUCUAUAGUUUU